rnacentral:rRNA from 1 species
GUGCCAGCCGCCGCGGUAAUACGGAGGAUGCAAGCGUUAUCCGGAUUUAUUGGGUUUAAAGGGUGCGUAGGCGGAAUAGUAAGUCAGUGGUGAAAGCCUGCGGCUUAACCGUAGAAUUGCCAUUGAUACUGUUAUUCUUGAGUACAGUUGAGGUAGGCGGAAUGUGUAAUGUAGCGGUGAAAUGCUUAGAUAUUACACAGAACACCGAUUGCGAAGGCAGCUUACUAAGCUGGUACUGACGCUGAGGCACGAAAGCGUGGGGAGCAAACAGGAUUAGAUACCCGCGUAGUCC